GAUGAACGCUAGCGGCAGGCCUAACACAUGCAAGUCGAGGGGCAGCACAGAAACAGCAAUGUUUUGGUGGCGACCGGCGGACGGGUGCGUAACGCGUAUGCAACCUACCUUUAACAGGGGGAUAACGGAGAGAAAUUUCCACUAAUACCCCAUAACAUCGAUCAAGGCAUCUUGAUUGGUUGAAAACUCCGGUGGUUAAAGAUGGGCAUGCGUUGUAUUAGGUAGUUGGUGAGGUAAUGGCUCACCAAGCCUACGAUACAUAGGGGGACUGAGAGGUUAGCCCCCCACACUGGUACUGAGACACGGACCCGACUCCUACGGGAUGCAGCGGUGAGGAAUAUUGGUCAAUGGGGGCAACCCUGAACCAGCCAUGCCGCGUGCAGGAAGACGGCUCUAUGAGUUGUAAACUGCUUUUAAACAGGGAUAAAGCACAGUAUGUAUACUGUGUUGAAGGUACUGUAAGAAUAAGGAUCGGCUAACUCCGUGCCAGCCGCCGCGGUAA
rnacentral:rRNA from 1 species